rnacentral:rRNA from 1 species
UACAGAGGGUGCAAGCGUUAAUCGGAAUUACUGGGCGUAAAGCGUGCGUAGACGGUUACAUAAGUCAGAUGUGAAAGCCCCGGGCUCAACCUGGGAAUUGCAUUUGAGACUGUGUAGCUAGGGUGCGGAAGAGGGAAGCGGAAUUUCCGGUGUAGCGGUGAAAUGCGUAGAUAUCGGAAGGAACACCAGUGGCGAAAGCGGCUUCCUGGUCCAGCACCGACGUUCGGGCACGAAAGCGUGGGGAGCAAACAGG